UAGUUCUAUGGUCUGGGGGACGCACGCCGUCUUCCUCCCGUGGUUCUAUGUCUUUACACAUACACCGUAGUGAAGUCUCAUGGAAUGUACCCUGCGUUUAACGCAAUAUAAUACAACUUUCAGCAACGGAUCUCUUGGCUCUCGCAUCGAUGAAGAACGCAGCGAAAUGCGAUAAGUAAUGUGAAUUGCAGAAUUCAGUGAAUCAUCGAAUCUUUGAACGCACCUUGCGCCCCUUGGCCAUUCCGAGGGGCAUGCCUGUUUGAGUAUCAUGAACACCUCAACUCUCGCGGUUUGCCGUGACGAGCUUGGACUUUGGGGGUUUUGCCGGCCUGUGGUUGGCUCCUCUCAAAUGAAUCAGCUUGCCAGCGUUUUGGCGGCGUCAUGGGUGUGAUAACUAUCUACGCUCGUGAUCGUCUGCCGAGUGACCUUCAGUGAUGGAGGUUCGCUGAAGCUUACAAACGUCUCUCCUCAGCGAAGACAGCUUUUUGAACGUUCGAUCUCAAAUCAGGUAGGACUACCCGCUGAACUUAAGCAUAUCAAUAAGCCGGAGG
rnacentral:rRNA from 1 species